GGAGUUAGCCGGUGCUUCUUCUGUGAGUGAUGUCCUUCCUGCCGGUUAUUGACCCGCAGGCCUUCUUCCUCACUGAAAGUGCUUUACAACCCGAAGGCCUUCUUCACACACGCGGCAUGGCUGGAUCAGGGUUGCCCCCAUUGUCCAAUAUUCCCCACUGCUGCCUCCCGUAGGAGUCUGGGCCGUGUCUCAGUCCCAGUGUGGCUGAUCAUCCUCUCAGACCAGCUACGGAUCGUCGCCUUGGUGAGCCGUUACCUCACCAACCAGCUAAUCCGACAUAGGCUCAUCCGAUAGCGCGAGGCCCGAAGGUCCCCCGCUUUCCCCCGUAGGGCGUAUGCGGUAUUAGCCUGGGUUUCCCCCAGGUUAUCCCCCACUACCGGGGCAGAUUCCUAUGCAUUACUCACCCGUCCGCCGCUCGCCACCAGGGAGCAAGCUCCCCGUGCUGCCGCUCGACUUGCAUGUGUUAGGCCUGCCGCCAGCGUUCAAUCUGAGCCAGGAUCAAACUCUGA
rnacentral:rRNA from 1 species